UAUAUGUAUAUAUGUGUGUGUGUAUAUGUAUAUGUAUAUGUAUAUAUAUAUAUACACACACAUACAUAUACGUAUG
rnacentral:miRNA from 1 species